rnacentral:rRNA from 1 species
AGGGAAUCUUCCACAAUGGACGAAAGUCUGAUGGAGCAACGCCGCGUGAGUGAUGAAGGGUUUCGGCUCGUAAAACUCUGUUGUUGGAGAAGAACGGGUGUCAGAGUAACUGUUGACAUCGUGACGGUAUCCAACCAGAAAGCCACGGCUAACUACGUGCCAGCAGCCGCGGUAAUACGUAGGUGGCAAGCGUUGUCCGGAUUUAUUGGGCGUAAAGCGAGCGCAGGCGGUUUUUUAGGUCUGAUGUGAAAGCCUUCGGCUUAACCGGAGAAGUGCAUCGGAAACCGGGAGACUUGAGUGCAGAAGAGGACAGUGGAACUCCAUGUGUAGCGGUGAAAUGCGUAGAUAUAUGGAAGAACACCAGUGGCGAAGGCGGCUGUCUGGUCUGCAACUGACGCUGAGGCUCGAAAGCAUGGGUAGCGAACAGGAUUAGAUACCCUGGUAGUCCAUGCCGUAAACGAUGAGUGCUAAGUGUUGGGAGGCUUCCGCCUCUCAGUGCUGCAGCUAACGCAUUAAGCACUCCGCCUGGGGGAGUACGACCGCAAGGUUGAAAC